rnacentral:rRNA from 1 species
AGUUUGAUCCUGGCUCAGGAUGAACGCUGGCGGCGUGCCUAAUACAUGCAAGUCGAGCGAACAGACGAGGAGCUUGCUCCUCUGACGUUAGCGGCGGACGGGUGAGUAACACGUGGAUAACCUACCUAUAAGACUGGGAUAACUUCGGGAAACCGGAGCUAAUACCGGAUAAUAUAUUGAACCGCAUGGUUCAAUAGUGAAAGACGGUUUUGCUGUCACUUAUAGAUGGAUCCGCGCCGCAUUAGCUAGUUGGUAAGGUAACGGCUUACCAAGGCAACGAUGCGUAGCCGACCUGAGAGGGUGAUCGGCCACACUGGAACUGAGACACGGUCCAGACUCCUACGGGAGGCAGCAGUAGGGAAUCUUCCGCAAUGGGCGAAGGCCUGACGGAGCAACGCCGCGUGAGUGAUGAAGGUCUUCGGAUCGUAAAACUCUGUUAUUAGGGAAGAACAAAUGUGUAAGUAACUAUGCACGUCUUGACGGUACCUAAUCAGAAAGCC